GGGUUGUGACCGUGGCGGCAUGUGAGUGGUUAUUGAUGUGAGUUCUUUGUCAGGCUCCCUGCUUUCCUGCGGCCAACUGACGAAUUCCACAUCUCUUUCGUACGGAGCCAUCAUUUUUGGCCAGUUUUGAGUUUGCCUUCAUGGAAAACUUAUCGUGUUGGUACCCGACUGUCAAGCAAUGUUAGUGUGUGACGCCCCUCCUCUUAUGCAAGUGUAUAUGAGGGGCGUAUGUAGUUGGAUUCUUCUGUGGUGGUUGGGUUUCAUUCGGAAAUCUAUUUUUAUCGUUGAUGCUCUUGAAUAUUUUAUGGAUGUUGUGCAUGCUGAAGUUUUUUGGGAAGCCUUCCUAAUGAUUAUACGAUUCGGUUUUGUCCGCGCUUCAUGAAAGACGCCUACAGGGGUCGUAGCUCCCCUUCAUUGCGGAGGAGGGCAUAUGCCUUUUUGUGGGUGCCUACGAGGACGUGCUACCUGGUUGAUCCUGCCAGUAGUC
rnacentral:misc_RNA from 1 species